rnacentral:rRNA from 1 species
UACGGAGGGUGCAAGCGUUAUCCGGAUUCACUGGGUUUAAAGGGUGCGUAGGUGGGUUGGUAAGUCAGUGGUGAAAUCCCCGAGCUUAACUUGGGAACUGCCAUUGAUACUAUCAGUCUUGAAUACCGUGGAGGUCAGCGGAAUAUGUCAUGUAGCGGUGAAAUGCUUAGAUAUGACAUAGAACACCAAUUGCGAAGGCAGCUUACUACGGGAUCAUUGACACUGAGGCACGAAAGCGUGGGGAUCAAACAGG